AUGCAAUCUACCCGCGGCUAGACGGAAAGACCCCAUGAACCUUUACUGUAGCUUUGCAUUGGACUUUGAAUCAAUCUGUGUAGGAUAGGUGGGAGGCUUUGAAGCGGACACGCCAGUGUUCGUGGAGCCAUCCUUGAAAUACCACCCUGGUUCAUUUGAGGUUCUAACCUUGGUCCGUUAUCCGGAUCGGGGACAGUGCAUGGUAGGCAGUUUGACUGGGGCGGUCUCCUCCCAAAGUGUAACGGAGGAGUUCGAAGGUACGCUAAAUACGGUCGGAAAUCGUGUUGAUAGUGCAUUGGCAUAAGCGUGCUUGACUGCGAGACUGACAAGUCGAGCAGGUACGAAAG
rnacentral:rRNA from 13 species